AAGACCUUGCACUUUUGGAGCGGCCGAUGUCUGAUUAGCUAGUUGGUGGGGUAAUGGCCUGCCAAAGCUUCGAUCAGUAGCUGGUCUGAGAGGACGGCCAGCCACACUGGGACUGAGACACGGCCCAGACUCCUACGGGAGGCAGCGGUGGGGAAUUUUGGACAAUGGGCGCGAGCCUGAUCCAGCCAUGCCGCGUGAGUGAAGAAGGCCUUCGGGUUGUAAAGCUCUUUCAGCCGGGAAGAAAAGGUUGCGACUAAUAAUCGCAAUUCAUGACGGUACCGGAAGAAGAAGCACCGGCUAACUACGUGCCAGCAGCCGCGGUAAUACGUAGGGUGCGAGCGUUAAUCGGAAUUACUGGGCGUAAAGGGUGCGCAGGCGGUUUUGUAAGUCAGAUGUGAAAUCCCCGGGCUUAACCUGGGAACU
rnacentral:rRNA from 1 species